CCUACGGGUGGCAGCAGUGAGGAAUAUUGGUCAAUGGUCGCGAGCCUGAACCAGCCAAGUCGCGUGAGGGAAGACGGUCCUAUGUAUUGUAAACCUCUUUUGUCAGGGAACAAAAGCCGCCACGCGUGGCCUUCCGAGUGUACCCGAAGAAAAAGCAUCGGCUAACUCCGUGCCAGCAGCCGCGGUAAUACGGAGGAUGCGCGUUUUCUGGUUGUAUUGGGGUUAAAGGGUGCGCAGGGGGAAGAUGAAGUCAGCGGUAAAAUUGCGAGGCUCAACCCCUUCGAGCCGUUGAAACUGGUUUUCUUGAGUGGGUGAGAAGUAGGCGGAAUGCGGGGUGUAGCGGUGAAAUGCAUAGAUAUCGCGCAGAACUCCGAUUGCGAAGGCAGCAUACCGGCGCUCAACUGACGCUCAUGCACGAAAGUGUGGGUAUCGAACAGGAUUAGAUACCCGAGUAGUC
rnacentral:rRNA from 1 species